UUAAAGGCAACGCCUGCCCAGUGAACAAUUCAACGGCCGCGGUACCCUAACCGUGCAAAGGUAGCAUAAUCACCUGUCUAUUAAUUGUAGACCAGUAUGAACGGCAAAAUGAAGGCCUAGCUGUCUCUUAUAGUAAAUCAAUUAAACUGAUCUUCUAGUAAAAAAGCUAGAAUAACCACAUAAGACCAGAAGACCCUGUGAAGCUUAAACUAUACUAUUAAACCUAAUAAUAGCUACUUUAGGUUGGGGCGACCUUGGAAAAAAACAGAACUUCCAAACAAUGACUAUAAACCACACACCGGCCUACAAGCCUACACCGACCCAGUAAAACUGAUAAUCGAACCAAGUUACUCCAGGGAUAACAGCGCCAUCUUCUUCAAGAGCCCAUAUCAAAAAGAAGGUUUACGACCUCGAUGUUGGAUCAGGACAUCCUAAUGGUGCAGCCGCUAUUAAGGGUUCGUUUGUUCAACGAUUAAUAGUCCUACGUGAUCUGAGUUCGAACCGGAUUUAUCGUUGAACAAAGAACCUUAAUAGCGGCUGCACCAUUAGGAUGUCUGAUCCAACAUCGAGGUCGUAAACCUUCUUUUUGAUAUGGGCUCUUGAAGAAAUAUGGMGCUGUUUUCCCUGGAGUAACUUGGUUCAUUAU
rnacentral:rRNA from 1 species